UAUGAGCUGCAACACUCACUGGGAAGGUC
rnacentral:piRNA from 1 species